rnacentral:rRNA from 1 species
AGAGGGUGCAAGCGUUAACCGGAAUGAUUGGGCGUAAAGCGCGCGUAGGCGGUUAGAUAAGUUGGAUGUGAAAGGCUUGGGCUUAACCUAAGGACUGCAUUCAAAACUGACUAACUAGAGUUCAGUAGGGGGAAGUGGAAUUUCCAGUGUAGCGGUGAAAUGCGUAGAUAUUGGAAGGAACACCAGUAGCGAAGGCGACUUUCUGGGCUGAAACUGACGCUGAGGCGCGAAAGCAUGGGGAGCGAACAGGGAUUAGAUACCCUGGUAGUCCAUGCUGUAAACGAUGAGAACUAGCUGUUGGAAUCUUUAAGAUAUCAGUGGCGUAGCUAACGCGAUAAGUUCUCCGCCUGAGGAGUACGACCGCAAGGUUA